rnacentral:rRNA from 1 species
GACGAACCGUGCGAACGUUGUUCGGAAUCACUGGGCUUAAAGGGCGUGUAGGUGGUUCUGUAUGUCUACCGUGAAAGCGUACGGCUCAACCGUAUUUAGUCGGUAGAAACUGCAGGACUUGAGGCUGGGAGGGGCUGGUGGAAUUCCCCGUGUAGCGGUGAAAUGCGUAGAGAUGGGGGAGAACACUCGUGGCGAAGGCGGCCAGCUAGACCAGUUCUGACACUGAGGCGCGAUAGCGUGGGGAGCAAACAGG